CGCAUAUUUCGCCAAGGCGUCGAAGAGACCGGCCCACACAAGAAAUGAUUGCUUUCAUUUAUCUGUAUCGUGAGCAGUAUGGAGUCGAGCCGAUUUGUACUGUAUUGCCGAUCGCUUCA
rfam:Spirochaeta africana DSM 8902, complete genome.